rnacentral:rRNA from 1 species
UACGUAGGGUGCGAGCGUUGUCCGGAAUUAUUGGGCGUAAAGAGCUCGUAGGCGGCCUGUCACGUCGGUUGUGAAAGCCCGGGGCUUAACCCCGGGUCUGCAGUCGAUACGGGCAGGCUAGAGUUCGGUAGGGGAGAUCGGAAUUCCUGGUGUAGCGGUGAAAUGCGCAGAUAUCAGGAGGAACACCGGUGGCGAAGGCGGGUCUCUGGGCAACAACUGACGCUGAGGAGCGAAAGCGUGGGGAGCGAACAGG